rnacentral:rRNA from 1 species
AUGCAGGCCGUCUUGAGUGGACUCUGUGAGGACCUGGGUAUUCCUUUCCAGCCACAAAUGCUCAAAUGGAAAGCUGGCCCCAGGGACUUUGAUGGUAUUUGGACCCCAUGGUGGUAUGAAAGUGUGCACACAUCUACCGGUUUCUCAAAAUCUCAUCGUUAACCUAUGACUUUUCCAUUUGCAUUUUAUGACCUACUUGAUCAAAGCUUACCUUUCUACAAUACGCUGAAGCGCCAGGUAAGCAGAACAGCAGGAUCCCUGCUGCCACCACCGCCUGAUCCUCCUCUUCCUGUACCAGAAAAUAUAAAAAAUCUUGUUUGGGUUGGAGAUGAGCUUUUGCCACGUGAUAGUGCAAGGGUUUCAGUGUUCGAUUCAGUUGUACAAGGAGGGGAUGCUGUGUGGGAAGGAUUGCGUAUAUAUGAUGGGAAAGUAUUCAAACCUGAAGAACACUUGGAUAGAUUGUUUGAUUCUACAAAAGCUAUGGCCUUCAGCAAUGUGCCCAGUCGUGAUUGGAUUAAGGAUGCAAUAUUUACGACUCUUAACGCAAAUGGGAUGUUCAAUAAUGCACAUAUAAGGCUCCCUCUCAUACUUGGGAAGAAGGUGACAUCUGGAAUGAGUCCAGCUUUCAAUCUAUAUGGGAGUGUCUUGAUUUUACUUGCAGAGUGGAAACCACCAGUUUAUGAUAACUCACAUGGGAUAAAGUUGGUAACAGCAACCACACAGCGUAAUUCUCCAAAUAGUGUUGAUUCGAUGACACAUCACAACAAUCUUAUUAACAACAUUCUGGCAAAAAUAGAAAGUAAUCUUACAUAGGCUGAGGAUGCUAUCAUGCUAGAUCAAGAUGGUUUUGUAUCAGAAACAAAUGUAACAAACAUAUUUAUGGUUAAGAAGGGUAUUGUAUUGACACUUCAUGUGGACUACCGACUUCCAGGAAUUACCCGUGCAACUGUAAGCCUAUACAUCUUCCACAUAGAAAUAAUUGGAGCCAAUCUACAGGUACUAUUCCGUUCAAGGAAUCAUAUUUUGCGAUUCUAAUUAGAUGGCCACUAUUCUGGUUUGCAACAGGUCUUGAUGAUUAACGGGCGUGAAAUUGGUGAUGGGAAAAUCGGUCCGGUCACAAGACAAAUCCAAAGUGCAUACAAAGUCCUGACAGCAGGGUUAGGAGUACCAAUUCCCAGGAAUGCGGAGGCAUAA